AUUUUUCUACUGAUUUGGUUACAUGAGGCUACACUGUAUGAGCAGAUACACAUUUAGGAAGAAGAAUUGCCUACAAAGUCCAGCUGAAAUGUCACAUGCUAGCCUCUCCGCUUUCUGGAGCACAUGCCAAUCAUGCGCAGCACUUACCAGGAGCUGCAAAGACUGCACAACAUGCCGAUGUUUAUUCCAGCAACAGGAGCCAGUCCAUAUGUUUAAGGGGACUUCCUCGACUCCCCAGCGCAAGAUAAAGCAUGCUGCUGACACACAGCUGCCCAAGCCAUCAGAAGGCAGCCAGCCACAGUUCUCACGCACCAGCAGUUAACCCUUUCCAGGCAAUUUUAUCGAAUAAAGUGGAUGCCGAGC
rnacentral:lncRNA from 1 species